UCCGCGAUAGCUCAAUGGUGGAGCACUCGGCUGUUAACCGAUAGGUUGGAGGUUCGAAUCCUCUUCGCGGAGCCA
rnacentral:tRNA from 6 species